rnacentral:rRNA from 1 species
GUAUGAAGCUGGAAUCGCUAGUAAUCGCAGAUCAGAAUGCUGCGGUGAAUACGUUCCCGGGUCUUGUACACACCGCCCGUCACACCAUGGGAGCCAGGAAUGCCCGAAGCCAGUGGCCUAACCGCAAGGGAGGAGCUGUCGAAGGCAGGCCCGGUAACUGGGGUGAAGUCGUAACAAGGUAUC